GACACUAGAAGAGGAAGAAGAGUACGAAGCCCCUCCUCCCUGCUACUAUACCCCUGUGCAUAUCCUGUUAGUGCCAGUUUUGUCCAAAAGUUACCCAAGGACUAUGUAAGUGAAGGCAGAGAGAAUUCCAGGAUAGCCCGCUUCGGGGGGGAAGCCCUGUGUCCCACAGACACCCUGAGAGAAAAGGAUUUAACGAUGAAUGUUGGAAGCCGCAGAGACCUAGCUAGUAAGUAGUAAGUGAGGACGGAAGUCCCAGUAGAGGCUCUGCAGACUUGUUCGGCCGACAUCUUGUACCGGAAGGCUCCGGAGGUGCCAGUACCCGUGGUGGAGUAUGCUCUGGAGCAGAGGGGAGGAGGCUUCCUCCCAGCAAUGCGAGCUCUGCAUAUGGUCUUGCGGGUCCUGCGGUACGUGUCUUUACCCCGAUGGAGGUGAAUCUUUAUGCCUGACCGGGUCCAAAGAGUGGAGUCUCAAUUCCUUGUGAAUGGAAGUAACGUGGUUGAGUGAGGGAAGGAAUCACCCUUGGAACAAUGGUGGAAAAUGUUCGUAGGACUGCCUGGUCCGCAUGGAGGAAGGUAGGGGCACUGACGUAAAUGCAGAGGUCUCAGGCACUCCGUUGUUCCAGAGAUAGCUGUCAAGAGGACUGUCUUGGAGGUAGGCAGACAAGGGAGAUGGUGGCCGGGGAGGGGGCCAGUGUUGUAGAGUAGGUGGGGGCCCGGUUGCGGUCCCAGGUAGGGACGCAAGGAGGAGUGUGUUUUCCUGUGGGAAGUGGUGAUGUCCAGUAGGAUGACCAUCCUCACUGGAAGAUGCCGAGCCGAGGGAUGAGGGAGAAUCCCAAGGUUAACCUUGUCCCCACUAAGCAGUGGGAAUAACCAGUCAAGAGGGAGAGAACUGGAGGGGGAACGCUGAACGCGCCAGGUCUGGUAUAUCCUUCAUUCUUGAUGGUAGGCCUUGGAGGGUACCAGCUUCCGAGCCGUCCUCGUGGUACGGUUACCUUCCGGUGAGGAACCUUGUGCUUGCUAGCCGGCCGUUGGUUUUGGGGAGGCUGGCUCGGGGUGACGAGAGUUACCCUGAGCGAGAAGUCCUGAGGAUAUGCCAGGGUCAGACUUCUGAGUGCCAUCGUCGGUGGACUGGGCUUUUCUGGCCAGGAGAGGGAACCCAAAAAGAUGAUUCAUGACUCCACCUUGAUCUGACGGUUCUGCGGCAGAUGAGGAGAAUAAGGGGAACGUAUGCAGUUUAAAGUCCCCAUAGCCGUUAGGGCAUCUGCCGCUGGGGCAGGAGGGUCAUGAUAGCUGGCCCUGAAUUGUGGAAUUUGCGGUUCGAUGUGAGUAGGAGAAGGAUGGCCAUGCGGGUUAGCCUGAUCUUCCUGGUGUUGGUCAGGAGCUGUGCUGCUGAGGACGAUCAGGUCCCUUAAGCCAAUGCUGAUUUGGAGCUAUGGUCCCACCUGUUGGACUGGCGUCAGCGGACCAAAGCCACCAUCGUGAUUCCAGGAGGGUCCGACUUUGGCUGAUAUGAGAUGUAUAGAGGCACCAAGCAAGGGAAUCGUAUCCUGGGUAGGAUCCUGAUCUUUCGGGCAGACUUGUUCGAUUCCGGAUGCAGGGUGUUCAACUGGGGGUCAUGAAGGUGACCCUGUGCGAAUGGAAAGGAAGGUUGUCGUCCCUAGGCAUAAGGACUUCCCGUGGGAAAAGGAGGUGGAUAUCCUUGAUGACCAGAUUCGAUGAUGGUAUCUUGUGUACCCACGGUUCCGAAGUGAGGUGGAGCCCGCCUCUUGGAGGGUUUCUUUAAACCAGGGGAUUAGCCAGGGUGAUCUGUGAGGGAGUAUCCCUGGAGAGAUUGUGUUGGAGCCCUUGGAUGAAGAACCGUCCCUGAGACGGGAAGGCCUGGUCUUGACUGUCUAAGGAGUUCCGGCCCGGUCGGGGCAUGCCCUGGGAGGCAUGGUGGUGAGCGACCUGUAGAGGAGUCUUGGCUGACCGGAGAUGUCGCCACGGUGAACAGCGGAGGUUACCGGGGUGUCUUGUGUUGCUAAACACCUGUGCUGCCUCAAGGGACGCUUUUCAAUGUAUUCCUUGGCGUCCUGGAUUUGGGAGGCUAGGCUGGCAGCUUCUUGGACCAGGACUGGGUGGCCUGGGAGUCCCAGCUUGGGACCACAAUGGAACGUUGGCUUUCUCCUGCUAAGAGAGAGUGUGUGAGAGGGGUCCCUCCACCCUCUUGUCCAUGGAGUCCUAGAAGGAA